GCCGGAGUAGCUCAUUUGGUCAGAGCGUGUGACUGAAAAUCACAAGGUCGGUGGUUCAAUCCCACUCUCCGGCA
rfam:Selaginella moellendorffii unplaced genomic scaffold SELMOscaffold_5, whole genome shotgun sequence.